rnacentral:rRNA from 1 species
UACGUAGGGGGCGAGCGUUGUCCGGAAUCAUUGGGCGUAAAGCGCGUGUAGGCGGUUCAGUAAGUCUGCUGUGAAAGUCCAGGGCUCAACCCUGGGAUGCCGGUGGAUACUGCUGAACUAGAGUGCGGAAGAGGCGAGUGGAAUUCCCGGUGUAGCGGUGAAAUGCGCAGAUAUCGGGAGGAACACCAAUUGCGAAGGCAGCUCGCUGGGGACGU